UUUGAAUAAUUUUUUUUCCAAAAAAAAAUUAUUGAAUGUCUUUCCCUGUUUUGGUGGAGCUUGUAAAGUGAAACCAGGCAGGGGAAUGGCAAACAAUAAUUAUUUUUUGAAAAAAGACCUUUUUUAAAAUUAAACUUUUUGUAUUCAUUUGUCUAAAAUUAUUUUUAUAAUAUAAAAACAACUUUUGACAAUGGAUCUCUUGGUUCUCGCAACGAUGAAGAACGCAGCAAAAUGCGAUAAGUAGUGUGAAUUGCAGAAUACGUGAAUCAUCGAAUCUUCGAACGCAUAUUGCACUUUUUUAGUUUACUAAAAAAGUAUGUCUGUUUGAGUAUCAGUAAAAUAUUCUCAUAAAAAACAUUGUUUUUUUAUGGUUAUGAGUGUUUUACAACGAUAACAAGUUGUUUCACUUCAAAUUCUUUGUUAUCAAAAAAAUCAUUAAAAGCUAAUUUUAAAGAUUUUUUAAAUUGGAUAAAAUUUUCCCGUAAAAAGGAAUAACCUAAACAAUUUUAAAAAAUUAAAAUUGGUUUGAUUUUUUUGAAACCCAAAGGAAAAAAAAAACGAAAUUAACUUGAUCUCAAAUCAGAUAAGAGUACCCGCUGAACUUAAGCAUAUCAAUAAGCGGAGGAAAAGAAACUAACUAGGACUCCUCAGUAACGGCGAGUGAAGCGGGAAGAGCUCAAAUUUGAAAUCUUCAAGGUUUUACCUUGACGAAUUGUAGUUUAAAGAAGUGUUUUCUGUUGGAGUUUUGGUAAAAGUUCUUUGGAAAAGGACAUCAUAGAGGGUGAGAAUCCCGUAUUUGACCAUUAUCUCCAGCUUUGUGAUACACUUUCAAAGAGUCGGAUUGUUUGGGAAUGCAGUCCAAAAUGGGUGGUAAAUUUCAUCUAAAGCUAAAUACUGGCGAGAGACCGAUAGCGAACAAGUACCGUGAGGGAAAGAUGAAAAGAACUUUGAAAAGAGAGUUAAACAGUACGUGAAAUUGUCAAAAGGGAAGCGUUUGACACCAGUGUUGUUUUCUCGAAAAUCAAUUAAAAAAGGCCGGAUUUUGUGUUGUAUUGACUUUAUCAGCUUUCUGCACUUUUUUCUUGUCUUUUUUAAUGCACUUUUCGUUUAACAAGUCAACAUCAAUUUCUUUGUUGUAAAAGGGUCAUUGGAAGGUGGCUUUCUUUUCGGAGAAAGUGUUUAUAGCCUUUGGCCUCUGCAAUCGGAGAGAUUGAGGUCUGCAGCGUAGAUCCUUCGGGUUAGAUACAUUUGUGCUAAGUUAUAGCCUUUCAUAGACAACUUGUUGACUAUGAUCAGUCAUGUAGCUUACUCGCUGAUGCUAUUUUACCUACGCUUAGGAUGUUGAA
rnacentral:misc_RNA from 1 species